ensembl:lncRNA
UUUUUUUUUUGUCCCCCUUUUGUCGUGGUAACCUUCUCUCCCCCACAAAGGUGACUGACGGGGCCAAUUUGGCCGGUGCCCAGGGGCCCCCCCCCCGACCACUGGGACCAUGGCCCCCGUUCUGCCUGAGGGGGGAGGCCCCUGACCGUCAGAGGUCUGUCGAGCUCGGGGGGGGGGGGUAUAUAUCACACGUCUCAUCUGUGUGCCAAUCUGUUAGUAAGUUGUGGAUCCGAGUUGAUUUUAAAGCUCAUGUCACCAUAAGGUGGAUUCAUUGAUUAACGUCUGACGGAAAGUUAAUCCGCAGUCAUUUUUUUAUCAUCCAUUAAAGGCUUUUGAUCAUGGUAAAAAUACAUAAACUGACCCUCAAACUCUUAAACGUGAAUAUUUAAUGAUAGAAGAGCUAAUUCCUUUCUAGUGGGACUGAUGGUUGGAUUAAACAAGGCGCCUGAAGAUGUCUUCUUGGGCUUUGGGAUCUUCUGGUGUUUGUGUACAUUUAUUAGGCGGAACCUAAUUUGAUCUUGGAAACAAUCUGCAGAUAAUAUAUAAUAAUACUUGUGUUGAGAAAUAAGUAAUCAUCAGUAUUAAAAUGUGUAAUGAGAGCUGAUAAAAAGCACUCAUGUCCACAUGUCGUUUAAUUUAAGAGCUACUGUGCCAAUGUGGUGAAUCCAUCAAUAUUUGGAUCAUUUCUCGCUCAUUUGUCUUUUUAGAAACGUUGGGAUCCCAUGAUAUCAAAUUUCGCGGCCAAUAAGUUGUUGAAAAAGAAACUUUCCAAAACCUUCCGCUGUAUUAAGUAAUUAGUGUUAAUAGAUUAUAUCUUGCUCUUUAGCCCCACGUCGAGGCACAAACAAGAGGCAUCGAUCACGAUUAAAAAGUACAGACGCAGAUCCGCUCAGUCACAUGACCUGCCUCGGCAGAUGGAGCUGUCCAGCUGCCAUGCACACGCUUUAACUAACAUUUUUACAAACAUUAAAAAAUACUCUUGUCCAUGUUAGGUUGAACGUUUUUGAUUAGCUCGAGUCGACACUUUCCCUCACAAAGAGAGACUUGACAGCGAAGGCACAUUGUUUAGGGUAAUUUAACUGCUCCACCAGCGUACGUAACAUCCCUGUCAAUCACGCUCAUCUCAAUCUGAUUUUGACGAAGAGAGCGAGGCCGAUGUUCGGAGGUGUUGAGAGUGAAUGUGUGUUUCUUACUUUAUCUGUCUGGACCAGACGACACAGGACGGCUGCCGCUGCCAGCCUAUUUCUCAGCCCACACACACACACACACACACACACACACGGAAACCACACAAAGCUGCCACUUACGACAUUCUACACCUCCUACACGUCGUCCUAUCUGCAGGCAGGUAGUUGGAAAUAGCCCACAUGAAUGUGGCAGUGACUGCACCUGUUGAGGACCAUCUGCUGUCCUCCUCACAACAACUUUUUACUUUCAAUAUUAUUUGAUAAUGACAGAGAACGAGUGAGCGUGAAAACAAGAGUCAGAGCGAGAUGGAGGAAGAAGCCAAGUGAGAGAGACAGAAAAAGAGGUCAAGGGUAACGCAUAGAUGGGAACGAGGUCUCCUCCGCGUGAUGGAUUUAGAUGUAACAGUAGAAGAUAACGGUCAAAGAGAAGUGUGGAGGUUAUCGGAAUGUCAAACUAACCUAAACUUUAACAUUAUAGGAAUGUCUUCCAAGUUACGGAUUUUCUAAAUCCACUCCGAGGCAGCGGAGACCACUCAAUGAUGACAUAAUACCACCUUUUAUUCGUACGCCCCGCCGACAUGGAGCAACGCCGGUAUUCAUUUGACCCCUCGGAAAAUAAAAGUCCUGUGUUCGCUCUCCUUUUAGCUCUAUUUUUGGUCUCCACCGACCGCAGGGGCUCUUUAGCCGCUGAAAGCUCCACUAAAGCUUCACUCUACUAGCCGGCUGCCGCUUGGUGCUGGUUGUGGACAAUGGGUUCAUCGGGGCUUUUAAAGCCGAACACGACGAAAAAAGUCCACAAAUGAUGGGAGUUUUGCGACGUGAAAACAAAACAAUGCGCUGAAAGCGAGUUAAUCAAACAACAGAGGCGAGGAGAAGCGCACAGUGGUCUCAUCGCCGACUCUUGAGACCACUUUCCCUUUGCACAAAGCAGCGUGACCCAGUGUUACUUUGGAGAUGUGAGUCAAAUCCCUGUUAAAAUUGAAAAUGCAAAAGUGGCUCUGAAACAUCUCUUCCCUUCGCCAACAGUACGUCCUGACUGUGGCCUCCUCGGUACCUCACGCACUCCUAUUUUAAUACACGGAUGCUCUCCAGAGUGAACACGGCAGCCUGAACCCGACACGUGCAGACGCACAUUUGCUGGAGAGAUUUUGAAGAUUCUUUUCACAGCUGCCGGUUUCCACAGAACAUUCAUCAAGGGUCAAAUGAAACUUCUCCAUGUCAGGAAAAAUACCUGCCAGGGUUCGGUGCUGAAAGUAAGACACUUUUACCUUGUCAGGGAUGAAACGGAGGAAAACACUCCUCCACCCCAUCGCUGAUUCACACAAUCACCAUAGUAAUGCACUUUGUUAACGUCCCAUUUAACCUGUCAUUUUAAAGAAUGCAAUCUAUAAUCAUGGGGAUGUAUUGCUUCAAGCGUCUUCAAAUGAUACUCAUUCAUUUUCCAAUUAUAAUAAUUUCGUUUGCGUUCAAGAGAUCCAACAGACAAGGUGUCGUCGCCCCUGUGAUUACUGCAGCAUUAUAACAGAAAGCAUCCGUCUGUUUUCCGCCGCCACCGACUGUGUUUACGCAGAACUCAAUAGUGAGAAACAAAAGGUCCUUUUAUUCUUUUUUAUCCGGGAAUCAAAAAGUCAUUUAUUUGGGCUUCAGAGUGAAACAAUUUAGUCCACUUUAUUAAAGCCCCUGAAGAUUUUUGUUUAUUUCAAAUUUUUCAAGGUAAACAGGGACAUAAAAUACAGUAAAACGACAGAAGCAGAAGCAGCAGCACUAAACACAACCGCUUCCUUGACAAAUCCAUUUUAAUGUCAAUGUCAGCCGGCCAAAAACACAUCAUGGGUAAAUAGAGUGCUUCUAGGUUUCCAUUCAAAAUCAAAGCAGAGCCAGAAUGUGUGUGUGUGUGUGUGUGUGUGUGUGUGUGUGUGUGUGUGUGGUUUUUGUCUCUACCGUGCAGAUAUGGACUUUUAUGCAAUGAAUCACACACUAAUUCAGUUUUAUUUGUGCUCCCUGUCUCAGAAAGCGUUUUUUACUUUUUUAGAGGCCGGCCCUGUGUGUGUGUGUGUGUGUGUGUGUGUGUGUGUGUGUGUGUGUGUGUGUGUGUGUGUGUGUGUGCAUAUACUCUGUCAUGUGUGUGUAGCUGGGGGCAGAACUGCGCUAUUAGACCAGGAUAUUGCAGCAGUAGCUCAUGGGAGCUCAAUACAAUUCAGUCCGUAUGUCAUAUAUUUAUCAAGAACGGAGCGUAAACGUAUGAAGUAAAUCACAAAAAAGCUUUAUGUGUCAUUAUCUAAUUCAGCCGCGGGUCAAACUAUGCAAUACAUUUAAUUCUGUGUUUGAAACGUUCUCAAGGACAGACAACGUCCACGUUUGUUACCGACUGAAUCUUCACUUAUACACAAAUGAUUUCCUCUAUGCAUUGAAAAUAUAUUGCUACCAAGCUUAUUAGCUGCGUCUGAUUUACAUUCAAACCAGAUUUAUUUCUGUUUUUGAUGGAAAUCUUUAAAUAAUAUGAAUCUUUAUUUAAUCAAGAUGUUCCCCAUAGUUUUUUGUUUUGUUUGUUUCUGCAAAAGUUGCAUGAAAUAUAAAUGUGUAAAGAGGUAAAAAUGGAUCAUUUCAAGGGUGAACCAUGCAAACAAAUGCUAUUUCUAGGUGCAGGUUUCUUUAUCGUGCUUCCGUGCAUUGUUACAGUUCCCUGCAGCCUCGGCGGUGUCCCCGCAUGGACCCGGUAUCAAUAGAUCACAGGACCAUUUCAUCUUUCAUAAGUCCCCCCUCUGAGACGACGAAUACAGGCCGACUGAACGUGUUUCUGUGUCCUGUGGGGGAUUAUGUUUCUGAGCCCCCUCGUGUGCGCGCACACACUUUAGACUCACACACACACACACACACACACACACACACACGCACGCUGUGCCGCAAUAUGUUCCAACAAGCAGGCGCUCUAACGGACAAAGUCACCGGAUGACACAGCAACAUGUGUGCAUUGGCUGCUGCAACAGGAAAAUAAAUAUGUAAUUGCUAUUGUUAUUAUUAACCGUUUGAGUUGGUGCUAUUUAGAAGUAGUAGUAGUAGUAGUAGUAGUAGUAGUAGUAGUAGAAGUAGUUUUGGUAUCUUCAAUAAACUGUGCCCCGUGUUGGCUGAAGUCAGGUUUUGAGUGAGAAACAUCUGAUAUUCAUCAUUACAGGAUGAGAAUGAGAAUAAAUUUAGUGUUUAAAACAAUUAUUAUGGUUAUUCAGAAAUGCAUUCACCUCCACAAGAUACGUCAUUUUAAAAAGCUUUUUAUAAUUCAGUAAACUGAAGAAACAAAGACGUCAUUUGAGGGAAGUAGAAAUGUUACAGCGAGUUACUUGAGUACAAAACAAAGUUACAUUCACUUCCCUGUAUUUCUGUUCCACUAGAAAUUGACCAACAUCACUGAACGUAAAAACAAAUAAACUAAAGCUAAAGCUAACUAACUAAGCAUUGGUAACUAGGUGGCAGAAAGAAAGUAAAAAGCAGAGAGAGGAAAGUGGAGCGGCAGACAGAAGGUGAAGGAGAUGUAGAAACGGGGAUGUUGAUUGGUUAAAAAUGCAUGAGGCGUCUGGCGCGCGGCGCCCCGCCGCUAACGCCAGUCUGAGGCUUCAUCUCGUGUCAGUCGGGCAAACGCAGCAUCCAUGGUGUCGGUUUUUGCAGGAAACAACAUGUCGGCUUCUCACGUGAAACUGAUUUUACUGAAACGCUGCAACCAAUUCCCACUACAGCUGUUCCGCAAUCAGAGGUGACAUCCAGAUGUUAACAAUCACCCCCAUGUUCAAGCGUGGCUUCUCACCGGGUUCGACAGGGUACAUUCAUUCUGCUAAAUACUGCUGACACCGUUUGUCGCAUGAUUGAUUAUUCAUCGCCAAAAUAUUGCUGCAUUGUUUGUGCGUUUGUUACAUGAAACCAUGUAAACGUAACUGUUUAAUGAAAAGCAAUCAGCCACGGCGGUCUGGGAUUUACAGUUAGGUUUAACGUAAUAAAAAGAGUGUUUAGACGAUAACUGAUCUGAUAUCUGCCCGUCAGCGUGUCAGUUGAUCUCUUUAAUUGUUCAUCCUGACACUGUGAAUUUAAUUUCCACUUCCUCUCUACUCGCUGCUGUCCUUCCAUCUGUCUGGUAUCCCUCUGCCAAUUCUGGGUUUGCAAGUGUGUAUGUCUGUGUAUGAGUGUGUGUGUGUGUGUGUGUGCGUGUGUGUGUGUCUCCAAUACGUUUCCAGGUCUGUGAACUUGCGCCACGACGCCGCGGUUCGGCCGAGCGGCGAGCGCCAGAAAGGGCGACGGAUCAGAGUCGAGGCGAGAGCGAUGCCGCUCCCCCGGGCCGAGCCGCGAUGCCCAAAUGACCCCAAAGGGCGCGCGGGCCGCUCAGGUACGUGGGGGGGGGGGGGGGAUGCAUCCACCUGGACGGCACUCCCGUCCCGCCCGUCUCCUCCGAAGAGCUGCCUCGCCCAAGGGCACUAAGACAGAGAGACAGCGCGCGGAGACAAACUCGUCUUCAAAAGUCCACCCUUAUUCUGACAUUGCUGCCAGUCGUCUGCUGCUCUAUACUAUUGUGUUCUAUACUAUUGUGCUCUAUACUAUUGUGCUCUAUACUAUUGUGUUCUAUACUAACAAGCCUGCAGGCCCGUGUUAACACACACAUCAACUCCACCGGUUGACACAAUUAUCUGAAACAGCAAAAAAUGUUUCCUUGCCACCCAGACUACAAACAGCGCGCGUGUGUGUGUGUGUGUGUGUGUGUGUGUGUGUGUGUGUGUGUGUGUGUGUCUUAUCCCAUCAGUAGUAUCGCUGUGGGCUGGUUCACAUUUGCAUAAUGAAGUCAAUAACACCGGCCUCCUGGGAGGGAGAGUGGUGACAUUAUUACUAAUUUAAUAAGAAGAAUCGAGUGUGUUUGGGGAGGGAGAGAAACAAAGAUGGCGCAGGACAGCGAGAGGCAGGAAGUACAGAAGGUUAAGAGGGAGAAAGAGGUGAGAGCGGAAGGAGGACAGAAAGUUAGAGAGGCAUGGCGGGUGAGGCACGAGGGGGGAGGAGGAGGAGGGGGGGGGGGGGGUCAGCGAUGAAGAAGCAGAGGGUCUUGGCGAGAGACAGAGAUUCAUGGGGGGGGGGUGUGACUCUGUUGUUCUACACCUCCGUUGUUAAUCACAGACCCGAUGUCCUCGCCGUCCUCUGGUAGCCGGAGCCUCGGGCGCCUUCAGCCCGCAAAGGGAAACAUGAAGGCCGACGCAGAAUCAUUCAUUUAACAGAAAUCGCAGCCAAACGUUCUGAUUUCUACACUUGAAAAAAGAAGUUUCUGCAAGCUGGUAACGAUUUGGCUGCAUAGACACAAUCAAAUGGGGAAGUUUGAUUGUGUUAACGAACGUCACGAGACGACAACAGCAACAGAGGUGCAACAUCUCCCACCCUGACAGCCACAAACCAACCUUCUCUCCCCCUUCGCCGUCCUCUCACAUCAGUCACACGGAAAAUCUCGUUAAUUUACACUUUUGAAAAACUUUGACUUUCGUUAACAUUCAGAGUUCUGACGACGUCAUCUUGAUGUCAGCAUCACGCUAAAAACGAAAAAAGGAAUUUUUUAAGUUGGAUUUUGAGACUAAUGGAGAAAAUCCAAUGAGGAUUCGGUUCAGAUUUGCAGAUAAGGGGCAGUUUUUUUUUAGCAAAGUCAAAAGAAGAUGUAAAUAAUGCUGUUUUUGCGUGCGUGGGUUGGUGUGUGCUUGUGUCCUCCAGCCCUCGGCCCUCUUCUCCGCGCCCUAAAUAUACUGCAGCCCCUUCCACCAGCUGCUGUCUGCGUCUCUAAUUAUAGCCUCUGCAGGCCAAGACCGGGGGUCCGGUUUCCCCUUCCCACUGCGCUUAAACCGGGCCUCCAAAACAGGUUCUGACAGGACUUCAGAACUCGCACGGGGCUCAACUAGUGAUUAAUUCGCCGAUUCCCUCCUCAGCGGCGCGCACUAAAGCGUGAAGACGUGUCCACUGAAGGAGGUGCGAGGAGAAGAAGCGUGAAGACGCGGGACACAAAGUGAGGACAUCUGGGUCUCUGGUUCCUAUGGUUUAAUAUUGACAUUGUCAUGCCUUAAUAAAUGAAAUAAAAUCCACGACGGUGCCUGUAUACGCGGUGGUGGGGGGUCAGUCGGUGGGGUCGGAGAUGGUGUUGUGAGCCUCUCAGGGGAGAAUCACAGAUGCAACAUCUGCUGUUAUCAGCCUGCAUCGUUAUAACGUGAUUAAUGAGCUCGGUUUUACCAAGAGACUCUCGUCACUUCAUUCUUCUUCUCCUCCCCACCCCGUGAUCUUUUGCUCCUGUACCUC